rnacentral:rRNA from 1 species
UACGUAGGGCGCGAGCGUUGUCCGGAAUUAUUGGGCGUAAAGAGCUCGUAGGUGGCUUGUCGCGUCUGCCGUGAAAGCUCAUGGCUUAACUGUGGGUCUGCGGUGGAUACGGGCUGGCUAGAGGUAGGUAGGGGCAAGCGGAAUUCCUGGUGUAGCGGUGAAAUGCGCAGAUAUCAGGAGGAACACCGGUGGCGAAGGCGGCUUGCUGGGCCGUUACCUGACGCUGAGGAGCGAAAGCGUGGGGAGCGAACAGG